GCUGUCGUGGUAGGCGGCGUCGCGCUCGGCGGCCACGAGCGCGCUCUGGUCGGCGGCGACCAGGCCGCCGUUCUGCUGCGCGCGGCGGUGC
rnacentral:tRNA from 1 species